rnacentral:rRNA from 1 species
ACUGCUCAGUAACACGUCGAUAAUCUGCCCUAAGGUCAGGGAUAACCACGGGAAACUGUGGAUAACACCUGAUAAGAAAAGAAAACUGGAAUGUUUCUUUUCUCAAACUCGAGCCUUAGGAUGAGUUGGCGGCCGAUUAGGCUGUUGGCGGUGUAACGGACCACCAAACCAAAGAUCGGUACGGGCCCUGAAAGGGGUAGCCCGGAGAGGGACACUGAGAUACUGGUCCCAGCCCUACGGGGUGCAGCAGGCGCGAAAACUUUACAAUGCACGAAAGUGUGAUAAGGGAAUCCUAAGUGCUCAGGUUUUACCUGGGCUUUUGCCAUAUGUAAAUAGUAUGGCGAAUAAGUAGUGGGCAAGACUGGUGCCAGCCGCCGCGGUAACACCAGCGCUACAAGUGGCAAUCACGUUUAUUGGGCCUAAAGCGUCCGUAGCAGGUUUUGUAAAUUUCUUGUGAAACUGCCAGGCUUAACUUGGCAAUGUGCAGGAAACACUGCAAGACUUGAGACAGGGAAGGGUCGGAGGUAUUCCUGAGGGAGCGGUAAAAUGCUAUAAUCUCAGGAGGACCACCGGUGGCGAAGGCGUCUGACUAGAACUGAUCUGACUGUGAGGGACGAAAGCUAGGGGAGCAAACCGGAUUAGAUACCCGAGUAGUCCUGGCUGUAAACGCUGUGAGCUAGGUGUCGCGUAUUCCACGGGAAUGCGCGGUGUCGCAAAGAAGUUACUAAGCUCACCGCCUGGGAAGUACGGUCGCAAGACUGAAACUUUAAGGAAUUGGCGGGGGAGCA